rnacentral:tRNA from 1 species
GGCGGCAUAGCUCAGUUGGUAGAGCAGUGGAAUCAUAAUCCACGUGUCAGGGGUCCGAGUCCCUUUGCCGCCACUA